GACGGGGGGGGCAAGUGUUCUUCGGAAUGACUGGGCGUAAGGGGCACGUAGGCGGUGAAUCGGGUUGAAAGUGAAAGUCGCCAAAAAGUGGCGGAAUGCUCUCGAAACCAAUUCACUUGAGUGAGACAGAGGAGAGUGGAAUUUCGUGUGUAGGGGUGAAAUCCGUAGAUCUACGAAGGAACGCCAAAAGCGAAGGCAGCUCUCUGGGUCCCUACCGACGCUGGGGUGCGAAAGCAUGGGGAGCGAACAGG
rnacentral:rRNA from 1 species